rnacentral:pre_miRNA from 1 species
UGUUCUUCGCUGGAGUAGCUCUGUGACUAUGGGACCAUAGCUGCCUGGCGAAGAAUGGU